rnacentral:rRNA from 1 species
GAUCAUGGCUCAGAACGAACGUUGGCGGCGUGGAUUAGGCAUGCAAGUCGAACGAAUGCCAGUGCUGUAGCAAUACAGUGCUGGCGGAAGUGGCGAAAGGGGCAGUAAUGCAUGGAUAACCUACCCUGGGGACCGGGAUAGCCAUUCUAACGAGUGGGUAAUACCGGGCAAUGUAUUCGAGGGGCAUCUCUUGAUUACCAGAUGAAUUUCGCCCUGGGAGGGGUUCAUGUCGUAUUAGCUAGUUGGUGAGGUAACGGCUCACCAAGGCAAAGAUGCGUAGCGGGUGUGAGAGCACGACCCGCGCCACUGGCACUGAGACACUGGCCAGACACCUACGGGUGGCUGCAGUCGAGGAUCUUCGGCAAUGGGCGCAAGCCUGACCGAGCGACGCCGCGUGUGCGAUGAAGGCCUUCGGGUUGUAAAGCACUGUCGAGGGGGAGGAAACCCGCAAGGGUUGACCUAUCCCUGGAGGAAGCACGGGCUAAGUUCGUGCCAGCAGCCGCGGUAAGACGAACCGUGCGAACGUUGUUCGGAAUCACUGGGCUUAAAGGGCGCGUAGGCGGCUUGCCAAGUCGGGGGUGAAAUACUUCAGCUUAACUGGAGAAGUGCCUUCGAUACUGGCGGGCUAGAGGGAGGUAGGGGUCUGUGGAACUUCUGGUGGAGCGGUGAAAUGCGUUGAUAUCAGAAGGAACGCCGGUGGCGAAAGCGACGGACUGGACCUCUUCUGACGCUGAGGCGCGAAAGCUAGGGGAGCAAACGGGAUUAGAUACCCCGGUAGUCCUAGCCCUAAACGAUGGGUACUAGAUUGUAGACUUAACAUGGGUUUACAGUCGAAGCAAAAGUGUUAAGUACCCCGCCUGGGGAGUAUGGUCGCAAGGCUGAAACUCAAAGGAAUUGACGGGGGCUCACACAAGCGGUGAGCAUGUGGCUUAAUUCGAGGCUA